AUUGAACGCUGGCGGCAUGCUUUACACAUGCAAGUCGAACGGUAACAGGCCGCAAGGUGCUGACGAGUGGCGAACGGGUGAGUAAUGCAUCGGAACGUGCCCAGUCGUGGGGGAUAACGCAGCGAAAGUUGCGCUAAUACCGCAUACGAUCUAUGGAUGAAAGCGGGGGACCGUAAGGCCUCGCGCGAUUGGAGCGGCCGAUGUCAGAUUAGGUAGUUGGUGGGGUAAAGGCUCACCAAGCCGACGAUCUGUAGCGGGUCGGAGAGGACGACCAGCCAAACUAGGAGUGAGACACGGCCCAGACUCCUACGGGAGGCAGCAGUGGGGAAUUUUGGACAAUGGGCGCAAGCCUGAUCCAGCAAUGCCGCGUGCAGGAAGAAGGCCUUCGGGUUGUAAACUGCUUUUGUACGGAACGAAACGGUCCUGGUUAAUACCCGGGGCUAAUGACGGUACCGUAAGAAUAAGCACCGGCUAACUACGUGCCAGCAGCCGCAGUAACAC
rnacentral:rRNA from 1 species